AGCAGCCGCGGUAAUUCCAGCUCCAAUAGCGUAUAUUAAAGUUGUUGCAGUUAAAAAGCUCGUAGUUGAAUUUCGGGAUCAAUGUUUCGGUCAUGCCCUUGGUAUGUACUGAUAUUAUUGGUUUCUCACCUUCUAAAGAACCGUAAUGCCAUUAAUUUGGUGUCACGGGGAAUUAGGACUGUUACCUUGAAAAAAUUAGAGUGUUUAAAGCAGGCUCACGCUUGAAUACAUUAGCAUGGAAUAAUGAAAUAGGACAUCCGAUUCUAUUUUGUUGGUUUCUAGAAUCGAUGUAAUGAUUAAUAGGGAUAGUUGGGGGCAUUAGUAUUCAAUUGUCAGAGGUGAAAUUCUUGGAUUUAUUGAAGACUAACUACUGCGAAAGCAUUUGCCAAGGAUGUUUUCAUUAAUCAAGAACGAAAGUUAGGGGAUCGAAGACGAUCAGAUACCGUCGUAGUCUUAACCAUAAACUAUGCCGACUAGGGAUCGAAUGAUGUUAAUUUUUUAAUGACUCA
rnacentral:rRNA from 1 species